rnacentral:rRNA from 1 species
CUCCCAGACUCCUACGGGAGGCAGCAGUGGGGAAUAUUGCACAAUGGGGGGAACCCUGAUGCAGCAACGCCGCGUGGGUGAAGAAGUACUUCGGUAUGUAAAGCCCUGUCAGCAGGGAAGAAAAUGACGGUACCUGACCAAGAAGCCCCGGCUAACUACGUGCCAGCAGCCGCGGUAAUACGUAGGGGGCAAGCGUUAUCCGGAUUUACUGGGUGUAAAGGGAGCGUAGACGGCAAGGCAAGUCUGGAGUGAAAGCCCGGGGCUCAACUCCGGGACUGCUUUUGAAACUGUGUUGCUAGAUUGCAGGAGAGGUAAGUGGAAUUCCUAGUGUAGCGGUGAAAUGCGUAGAUAUUAGGAGGAACACCAGUGGCGAAGGCGGCUUACUGGACUGUAAAUGACGCUGAGGCUCGAAAGCGUGGGGAGCAAACAGGAUUAGAUACCCGUGUAC